AACGAACGCUGGCGGCAGGCCUAACACAUGCAAGUCGAGCGCUCUCUUCGGAGGGAGCGGCGGACGGGUUAGUAACGCGUGGGAAUGUACCCUUCUCUAAGGAAUAGCCAUUGGAAACGAUGAGUAAUACCUUAUACGCCCCCCGGGUCAAACUGGGGGGAAAGAGUUUAUCGGAGAGGGAUCAGCCCGCGUAAGAUUAGAUAGUUGGUGGGGUAAUGGCCUACCAAGUCUACGAUCUUUAGCUGGUUUUAGAGGAUGAUCAGCAACACUGGGACUGAGACACGGCCCAGACUCCUACGGGAGGCAGCAGUGGGGAAUCUUGGACAAUGGGCGCAAGCCUGAUCCAGCCAUGCCGCGUGAGUGAUGAAGGCCUUAGGGUCGUAAAGCUCUUUCGCCAGAGAUGAUAAUGACAGUAUCUGGUAAAGAAGUCCCGGCUAACUCCGUG
rnacentral:rRNA from 1 species